AUCGGUCUGCGCAUCUCUGAUCCUUCAGAACUACAACCGUGGACGCUCUCACUGACAUCGAAAGACCUCUUCCGCAAUCCGAUGAAGGAGGCUCCGUUUAUGGCCCUACUACAUCAGCAUCCCUGACGGAGCUAUCCGCCUGUCCUGGACCAUUCCUUGCUGCCUUCAUUUCGUUAUUUUCCGGAGGACUUUACCUUUAUAGCCUUCGCAGAUCAUUCUAAAGAACUCCGCAUCCACUCUGCUAUGCACCUUUAGACCAGAUCUCUAAUUCCCGCGAUCAAUAUCUCAUCUCCCACAAUCGCCUUAUCUCGUCCCUGCCUGGUCCUCUCAUCGAACCCCAAGAAUGCAGCCCAAUGCAGUAAUGUUGGCUGUGGUCCUUUUUGGAAACUUGAUGCUGCAUUACGUCUCGGCUCAAAACGCUGGGUUUGUGAAGUCGCCAAUGUCUGAGACUAAGCUCACGCUGGACACCUUUGAGCUGUACUGCGACGUGAUUGGUAACCCCACCCCCGAGAUCCAGUGGUGGUACGCCGAGAUCAAUCGCGCCGACUCCUUCAAGCAGCUGUGGGACGGCGCCCGCAGGCGCCGCGUGUCCAUCAACACGGCCUACGGCAACAACGGGGUGAGCGUGUUGGGCAUCACGCGCCUCACGCUGGAGGACUCCGGGACCUACGAGUGCCGGGCCAGCAACAACCCACGGCGCAACGACCUGCGCCAAAACCCCGCCAUCACCUGGAUCCGAGCCCAGGCCACCAUUUCUGUGCUGCAGAAGCCCAAGAUCAAUGCGUCAGAUCAGAUCAUCCUACCCUCGGAGACCAAAGGGCCCCCUGUCACCCUGCAGUGUAACCUGACCAACGCCCACGAAGGCCAACAAGAGAGCUUCUGGAUGAAGAACGGAGUGGAGAUCGCAGACACACGGAACGAGCAGAAGAACACAGAGUACAUAAUCAAGAAACCAAGGUCAGACGACGCAGGGGAGUACAUGUGUGUUUACACGUUUGAAACGGCUCCCAACGCCAACGCCACUAUUGAGGUAAAAGCGGCACCUGAGAUCACGGGCCACAAGCGCAGUGACAAUAAGAACGAGGGGCAGAGUGCUCUGUUGUACUGUAAGUCUGUGGGCUACCCCUUUCCCAUCUGGACAUGGCGUAAACUGGAUGGCUCAAACUACAUGGAAAUCGAUAACUCCUCUGGCCGCUUCUUCAUCACCAACAAAGACAACUACACAGAGCUGAACAUCGUCAACCUGAACCGCACCUCGGACCCUGGUGAAUACCAGUGCAAUGCUACCAACCACAUUGGCACCAAGUCCAUGUCGUCCAUCCUGCGAGUGCGCAGCCACCUGGCACCCCUCUGGCCCUUCCUGGGGGUUCUAGCGGAGAUCAUCAUCCUGGUGGUCAUCAUCGUAGUGUAUGAAAAACGCAAGAGGCCAGAUGAUGUGUUGGACGUUCUGCCUAUGGCUGAGGGCUUAAAGUAGAGAAUCAAAAAUCCCUGUUCCCUACUCCAAUCAAAGCACGUCACACCCACAGGUAAAUGAUUCUCAAAGUAGCCUACGCUGGUAACUAGUUACUACUUUUACAGAGUAAUAUCUGUCCUAAUGGCAUAACCACUUGAUAACAUACAAUAAUAUAAACUGUUAAAGCUAGAUUCAAAAGUGUCAAAGUCAAACAAAGGUUUAAGCAUUUGAGUGUAGACUCAAAGCCAAAAAGGUCGUUGAGGCUUCACCCGCCUUUGGUUCUAUCAACUUUAUUCAGGAUAUCAGGAAGAUAUGAAUUAAUUGGUUAAUAUGACUUCUUUCCCCCUCUCUCCAAAUGGCAUCAUUAUCUAAACGGUUGAUGAUGAGCCAGCCGCACCAACGAAAACAAAUUCGACAAACAACCACAAAGACAAAAAUGUGCGCCAGAGGAAUACAAAAUGAGAAGCUACUCGUUGCAAUGACUAACUGCAUAUCUUGACCAUAUGAAGGUAUCUGAGGAGGGAGCUCCAGGCAAUUUUUAAUGAAGCAUAUCUCAUCUCUCUCUUACGAGAAAAAACAAUAACAGCGUAACACUGGCAGAAAAGAACAAGAUGGCUGUCUUAAGCAUGACUUAUUCAGUCUUACAUGAACAGUCCUGGACGGAGAGAUGACUAAUUCCAUCACGAAAGGUGUGCACAUCUUUUUUUGUGUGCUGUUUGAUGUCUCUUUUAUUCAUUUUAUCAUGUCCUCCAACCAGAGGUGAUCCUUUUUGUAUUACAUAUCAUGUAAAACGCAUGCAAAUUAUUACGCAAUAGGAUGCCCAGAAUAGACUUUGUUGUUUUCCCUCAUGUCUGUAUGGCUAUUUUGCGUCCAAAGGAAUUAUGUUUUUUUAUGAAAUUGUCCUGAACUGAAAAAUACUGUUAUAUUCUUAAAUAACUUUGUACAGCUGAUUCAUUGUCAUUAAACUAUGUUUGAUUUAGUGAAAGGAAAGUCCACUCUUAACAGCCAUUAUAGUGAAAAUGUGAUGCAAGGGAUUUGAUGUCUGGCAGUAUUUACUUGAAAAUGAUUAUAUGAAAAUUACUACUAUAUCUAUCUAGUUAUAAAUAAAAUGAGUGUUUAUUUUUAUUUUUCAGAGUAACUUAGGAUGUCUUGUAUAUGUUGAGGUACGAGUGUUCAAACAAUAGCAAAUACUGUAUGUAAAGAAAAAAAUACAUUUUAUAUUUCCCAACUUAAUUCAUUCAUUUUUAUUUUUCUGAAAUUGUACAGCAUGGCUAUUAUCCUAUGCAAUAUGUAUUCAUAUAUAGAUAUAUUGGGGGCAGUUUGUUUUUCUCAGUGAAGCUUUAAUAUUGUGGGAUCACUUGGAAGCUGGUAUAGCAAAAUGCACUGCUGUAGCUGCAUGACUCCUGUCCUAUAAAUACACCAUGUAUCCAUGUGUAUUGCAGUGCAAAUGGACCUACAUUAGGGUGGGAAUGGAAGGAGCUACGGUAUCUCUAGCCACGAUAAAACAUCAGACCAAUAACAUACGAGACUAAUACAUUUUUGAAAAUAAAAGGCUCCAAAAUACAUUUCA